rnacentral:rRNA from 1 species
GACGAACGCUGGCGGCGUGCUUAACACAUGCAAGUCGAGCGGUAAGGCCCUUUCGGGGGUACGACGAGCGGCGAACGGGUGGAGUAACACGUGGGUGGACCUGCCCUCCAGCUCUGGGAGUAAGCCUGGGAAACCGGGGUCUAAUACUGGAUAUGACUCCAUGACGCAUGUUGUGGGGUGGAAAGCCUUGUGCGGCUGAGGAUGGGCCCGCGGCCUAUCAGCUUGUUGGUGGGGGAUGGCC